UAAGGAAUAUUGGUCAAUGGACGCAAGUCUGAACCAGCCAUGCCGCGUGAAGGAUUAAGGCCCUCUGGGUUGUAAACUUCUUUUAUAUGGGACGGAACGUGCCGAUUCUUCGGCACUUGACGGUACCAUAGGAAUAAGCACCGGCUAACUCCGUGCCAGCAGCCGCGGUAAUACGGAGGGUGCAAGCGUUAUCCGGAUUCACUGGGUUUAAAGGGUGCGUAGGCGGGCAGGUAAGUCAGUGGUGAAAUCUUCCGGCUUAACCGGAAAACUGCCGUUGAUACUAUUUGUCUUGAAUAUUGCGGAGGUAAGCGGAAUAUGUCAUGUAGCGGUGAAAUGCAUAGAUAUGACAUGGAACACCAAUUGCGAAGGCAGCUUACUACACAAUGAUUGACGCUGAUGCACGAAAGCGUGGGGAGCGAACA
rnacentral:rRNA from 1 species